UUACAUGUAUAACCCCGUAUUCAUUCAAGCGUUCGAGCGGUCGGACAAGAGAGAUCAAAAGUAACUGGGAAAACUGUCGAACGAAAACGCGGUACCCAUUUAAUUUACCUAUCCAAUAAACAGCAUAUCAAUAAUUACACCCUCUUACGAGGACGUAUUUAUUCACUGGCUGGAAUAUACGAGCCACUCAAAUUCCCGAUUUAAUAACCUGUAAAUACAGUACGGCUCAGGACGUCAUUUGGUACCCCAAAUAAUACAAUAUCCGAAUUUUAUUUAUUAGUAUAGACUCCGUUGUCGUCAUUGUCGUUGAUAU